rnacentral:rRNA from 1 species
GACGAACGCUGGCGGCGUGCUUAACACAUGCAAGUCGAACGGAAAGGCUCCAGCUUGCUGGAGUACUCGAGUGGCGAACGGGUGAGUAACACGUGGGUAAUCUGCCCUGCACUCUGGGAUAAGCCUGGGAAACUGGGUCUAAUACUGGAUAUGACCUUUCUCCUUAUGGGGUUUGGUGGAAAGUUUUUCUGUGUAGGAUGAGCCCGCGGCCUAUCAGCUUGUUGGUGGGGUGAUGGCCUACCAAGGCGACGACGGGUAGCCGGCCUGAGAGGGUGAUCGGCCACAUUGGGACUGAGAUACGGCCCAGACUCCUACGGGAGGCAGCAGUGGGGAAUAUUGCACAAUGGGCGGAAGCCUGAUGCAGCGACGCCGCGUGAGGGAUGACGGCCUUCGGGUUGUAAACCUCUUUCAGCAGGGACGAAGCGUAAGUGACGGUACCUGCAGAAGAAGCACCGGCUAACUAUGUG